CAGGAUGAAGGCCUUCGGGUUGUAAACUGCUUUGUACGGAACGAAAAGACUCCUUCUAAUAAAGGGGGGUCAUGACGGUACCGUAAGAAUAAGCACCGGCUAACUACGUGCCAGCAGCCGCGGUAAUACGUAGGGUGCAAGCGUUAAUCGGAAUUACUGGGCGUAAAGCGUGCGCAGGCGUUAUAUAAGACAGAUGUGAAAUCCCCGGCUCAAUUCU
rnacentral:rRNA from 1 species